GCAAACUUGGUCAUUUAGAGGAAGUAAAAGUCGUAACAAGGUUUCCGUAGGUAAGUAGAAGCUUUCCAUCUUACAACCCACUAUAGUCCAUAAUGUACUGACUUUUCCUUUUAGGUGAACCUGCGGAAGGAUCAUUAUAGAGUGGUUAAACCCCCCGUAAAAAGGGGGGGACCUCCCGUCCUUUGCAGGCUCUUUUUAAGGGGCUUUUUUUGACUUUCUGCUUCGGUGGGGUUAACCCACCGGAACAACCUCAAAACUCUGAAAAAACUUUUCUGUCUGAGGACCUUUUUUAUAAUAAAAAAAACUUUCAACAACGGAUCUCUUGGUUCUGGCAUCGAUGAAGAACGCAGC
rnacentral:misc_RNA from 1 species